AUUGAACGCUGGCGGCAUGCUUUACACAUGCAAGUCGAACGGCAGCACGGACUUCGGUCUAGUGGCGAGUGGCGAACGGGUGAGUAAUACAUCGGAACGUGCCCAGUUGUGGGGGAUAACUACUCGAAAGAGUAGCUAAUACCGCAUGCGAACUGAGGUUGAAAGCAGGGGAUCGUAAGACCUUGCGCAACUGGAGCGGCCGAUGGCAGAUUAGGUAGUUGGUGGGAUAAAAGCUUACCAAGCCGACGAUCUGUAGCUGGUAUGAGAGGACGACCAGCCACACUGGGACUGAGACACGGCCCAGACUCCUACGGGAGGCAGCAGUGGGGAAUAUUGGACAAUGGGCGAAAGCCUGAUCCAGCGACGCCGCGUGUGUGAAGAAGGCCUGCGGGUUGUAAAGCACUUUCGAUGGGAACGAAAUGUGCCGGGCUAAUACCCCGGCAAGCUGACGUUACUCAAUGAAGAAGCACCGGCUAACUCUGUGCCAGCCGCCGCUGUAACAC
rnacentral:rRNA from 1 species